GGGAGGAAGGAAAGGAUUGGGAGAUUGGCAUGAGCAGAUGCAAAUUAUCAUAUAUAGAAUGGACAAACAAUAAGGUCCUACUGUAUAGCACAGAGAACUGUAUUCAAUAUCCUGUGAUAAAGUGUAAUGGAAAAGAAUAU